rnacentral:rRNA from 1 species
AACGAACGCUGGCGGCAUGCCUAACACAUGCAAGUCGAACGAGACCUUCGGGUCUAGUGGCGCACGGGUUCGUAACGCGUGGGAACCUGCCCUUAGGUUCGGAAUAAUUCCCCGAAAGGGGUGCUAAUACCGGAUAAUGUCUUCGGACCAAAGAUUUAUCGCCUUUGGUUGGGCCCGCGUUGGAUUCGCUCGUUGGUAGGGUAAAAGCCUACCAAGGCGACGAUCCAUAGCUGGUCUGAGAGGAUGAUCAGCCACACUGGGACUGAGACACGGCCCAGACUCCUACGGGAGGCAGCAGUGGGGAAUAUUGGACAAUGGGCGAAAGCCUGAUCCAGCAAUGCCGCGUGAGUGAUGAGGGCCUUAGGGUUGUAAAGCUCUUUUACCCGGGAUGAUAAUGACAGUACCGGGAGAAUAAGCCCCGGCUAACUCCGUG